CAAUCUUGUCUAAUCCUAAAACAAAUAUAGGAUCCAUAGGGGUCGCCAUCCCUAAUUGAUCAUGAUUUAUGAUAUGCAUCCUAUUGAUCAAACGAAUAUGUUAGGACUUAGAGUGCAUCCGUCUAAGAUAAGUAGCAUGUGCAGGGUUAUACAUGAUCCACCUUCUACCUUCCGCGUGGCAUCACAUCAAUCUUUCACAUAAGAGAAAAAUGAAACAUCAGAUCCC
rnacentral:lncRNA from 1 species